rnacentral:rRNA from 1 species
UACGGGGGGGGUAAGCGUUGUUCGGAAUUACUGGGCGUAAAGGGCGCGUAGGCGGCCUUCUAAGUCGAACGUGAAAUCCCCGGGCUCAACCCGGGAACUGCGUCCGAUACUGGAAGGCUUGAAUCCGGGAGAGGGAUGCGGAAUUCCAGGUGUAGCGGUGAAAUGCGUAGAUAUCUGGAGGAACACCGGUGGCGAAGGCGGCAUCCUGGACCGGUAUUGACGCUGAGGCGCGAAAGCCAGGGGAGCAAACGGG